rnacentral:rRNA from 1 species
GAUGAACGCUGGCGGCGUGCCUAAUACAUGCAAGUCGAGCGAACGGACGAGAAGCUUGCUUCUCUGAUGUUAGCGGCGGACGGGUGAGUAACACGUGUAUAACCUACCUAUAAGACUUGGAUAACUUCGGGAAACCGUAGCUAAUACCGGAUAAUAUUUUGAACCUCAUGGUUCAAAAGUGAAAGACGGUCUUGCUGUCACUUAUAGAUGGAUCCGCGCUGCAUUAGCUAGUUGGUAAGGUAACGGCUUACCAAGGCAACGAUGCAUAGCCGACCUGAGAGGGUGAUCGGCCACACUGGAACUGAGACACGGUCCAGACUCCUACGGGAGGCAGCAGUAGGGAAUCUUCCGCAAUGGGCGAAAGCCUGACGGAGCACCGCCGCGUGAGUGAUGAAGGUCUUCGGAUCGUAAAACUCUGUUAUUAGGGAAGAACAUAUGUGUAAGUAACUGUGCACAUCUUGACGGUACCUAAUCAGAAAGCCACGGCUAACUACGUG